UUUAAGCGUAGCCAUGAAUCUCCUUGUUCAACUUUGAUCGUACAUCUUAUUUAAUUUUUUUAUGAUUAAGAUUUUUAUUGUUAUUAGAUGAUGAAUCAUGAAUAGUACUUUAUGUUUAACUUAUAUAUUUUUUAAUUUUUUCAAAAAAAUUUAAAUAAAACUAACGAUUAAAGUUGGACACGGAAGCUCACGACUGCACUGUGA
rfam:Oryza punctata chromosome 7, whole genome shotgun sequence.